CUCCUGCUUAAACUGCGUCUUAUCUAAUCAAGUGAUUUAUGAAUCAGCAUUUAGACGUAAAUCAGUUUCUUCGUACGAACGUCGGAUUUCAGUUUGCGUCGAUAUUCUGGUUUUCAUCAUAGCUGCAAACUGCCUGCAUAGAUUGACUUUAACCUUGCUUAGUAUCAACUUUCAUACAGAAGUUGUUUUUAUCGUUUGAACGCAGCUUUCGAUCUUAAUCGCAGAAAGUUUUCCGCUGCACUAAUUCACC
rnacentral:lncRNA from 1 species